rnacentral:tRNA from 1 species
GUUGACUUGGCCGAGUGAUUAAGGCGUUAGACUUGAAAUCUUUUGGGAUUUACCCGCGCAGGUUCAAAUCCUGCCGACAGCG